ACUAGGGGGAAGUAAAGCGGAAGUUACGUUGCUGCCAGUAGUCAAACUGCGCAGCCUCCGUUAUAACCGUUCAGUAACUGUUGGUGAAGAGUUGAGGAACGGUUCACUUUUCGAUGAGGAGGUGAUGCAGAAAUGAUGUAAAUGAAGCUGGACUCUGCUAGGGUUUGAAUCACAGGAAAGACGAGUAAAUGAAGAGACUUUUAUUCCUGUGGACGUCCUCACCGAGUUGCAGCACAUUUCUUUGAUUUACUUUAUGUAAUUGUGAAUAAAUAAAACUUGAAUUUGAAA